rnacentral:rRNA from 1 species
UGGGGAAUAUUGCACAAUGGGCGCAAGCCUGAUGCAGCCAUGCCGCGUGUGUGAAGAAGGCCUUCGGGUUGUAAAGCACCUUCAGCGAGGAGGAAGGUGGUGAGCUUAAUACGCUCAUCAAUUGACGUUACUCGCAGAAGAAGCACCGGCUAACUCCGUGCCAGCAGCCGCGGUAAUACGGAGGGUGCAAGCGUUAAUCGGAAUUACUGGGCGUAAAGCGCACGCAGGCGGUUUGUUAAGUCAGAUGUGAAAUCCCCGGGCUCAACCUGGGAACUGCAUUUGAAACUGGCAAGCUAGAGUCUCGUAGAGGGGGGUAGAAUUCCAGGUGUAGCGGUGAAAUGCGUAGAGAUCUGGAGGAAUACCGGUGGCGAAGGCGGCCCCCCUGGACGAAGACUGACGCUCAGGUGCGAAAGCGUGGGGCAGCAAACAGGAUUAGAUACCCUGGUAGUCCACGCUGUAAACGAUGUCGAUUUGGAGGUUGUGCCCUUGAGGCGUGGCUUCCGGAGCUAACGCGUUAAAUCGACCGCCUGGGGAGUACGGCCGCAAGGUUAAAACUCAAAUGAAUUG